GAACGGGUGAGGAACACGUGAAGAAUCUGCCCUCCACUUUGGGAUAACACCGGGAAACCGGUGCUAAUACUGAAUAUUGAAACAUAAGUGGCAUCACUGAGUUUUGAAAGAAUUUCGGUGGAGGAUGACUUCGCGGCCUAUCAGCUAGUUGGCUGGGUAACGGCCCACCAAGGCAUCGACGGGUAGCCGGCCUGAGAGGGCGACCGGCCACACUGGGACUGAGACACGGCCCAGACUCC
rnacentral:rRNA from 1 species